GCUCCCUUUUCGCUGCCUCCGUUAUUCCAAAGUCGUCGAACGAAUAGUGCAGACUGUAUCUUUCUCGGUGGUUUAUUUAACCGUUCAUCGAUAAAAGAGGAACUCAGCGUGUCCUUCACAUCGAGGAAUACGAGUUGGCUACAGUCUCACCAUUUGAGAUGGCAUUGGAAUGGGCGGAGGGAGUCGCAGUUCUGGUGACUAUGGUCCAUGCAGAACCAAGGGUGCCCAGACUCCACGCCAUUGGCUAGACGAAUUCCCGUUUGGUUUGUAGAUUGUAUCGAAAAAUGUCUUUCUCAGUUUCUGUAAAUUUAACUUAGUCCAUUUUCAUUGUAUAUAAAUCAAAUUUUUCAGAUCUCUUGAAUAAAUAUUAAGUUUAGAUUUCAUUUUUAUAGAAAUUUGUUUAUUUUUGCGAGAUUACGUCUAUCAACGUUUAUGUAAUGAGAGAAUAUCUACUGUAAUAAGAGAUGGAUGUCCAAUUCCGUUGAUUAUAAAUUAUUUGUAAUAUAUAGCGGUAACAGUAUUAUUUUAUAGAUUAUCAUGUUCGAAGUACACAUAGGAGAGAAGUAUUAAAAUUAUUCUAAGCAAAUAAAUUUUCUUAAUUUAAAACUAAAAAUGAAGUAAUCCAUUUAUUUAUUAAUUAGUUUAAGUAUCAUCGACUAUUAAUUCCGUAAAUCCUUUUCAGUACAGCACUCAUCCUCAAAUAACGAGUUGAGAGUUGUUACGAGUAUGAGACAAUUGGUUUCAAAAUUCCUCGGGCUGACAUCUGAUAAUAAUCAAAGCGAAAAUCUGAACUCAGAGAAAAAAUAAACGUAAGAGGAAAGUUUUAUUUGCGCAUGAAGACAAAAAAAGGGAGGGGGGAGAAACAUAUGUUCUAGAAGGCCAACCGAGUAACGCAGCGAGCAAUGCAUGAACUCUACACCCACAACCUUCGCACCCUCACUUGCUUCACCAAGUUCAUUCGCGAGAGUGUCAUCACACACACGCAACGAGAGGCAUCUAUGGGGUCGAGCCGGAAUAAAUAAUAGCUGGUGAGCUUAUUCUUGAUGUUAAAAUCCCAGACAAUCGUAUUUUCCCAGGUCUGGAGACGAGAACAGAUUUUUAGACUUUUCUAUCGGGAUGCUCAAGACAACCCCGAGCCUCUGUAGUAUUGGAAUCACACACGCACGUGUCGUCCGACGCACGGUACUGACUCAAAAUUGAAAGGUAUUCAGGUAUCUAAAAUCUGCAUGAUUUGUUAGCAGACAAUUCUGAAUAAUAGACAACGUUUUCUAAUGAAUGUUUGACACAUAUCAAAUACUAAAUAAGUACUGCGUUGUAAUAUCUUGUCUACGAGCACGGUAUGCUCGGCAUUCGAAUAACCGUAUUUUCACAGAUGCAAUAGAAGCACGAUUGCACAAUUCUGGAUAAAAGCUAGCAAAUACGGAUAUCGCGAAAAUUUAGAUCUGAUGGAGAGAUGAGAUAAAGACGAUUUGGACAGAUGGAGUAAGAGGUCAAUGUGAGAAAGGUUGAGUUUAAAAUCUAUAGAGGUACCACCAAUGUUUUUUUGAUGUUCAUUAACCUAUCUAACUUGGUUUAGUCUUAAACAAGUAGUAGAUUGCAUUUGAUUAUUGGGUAUGGGAUUGGGGGAAUUAAAAAAAAAACAGUCAUUUUCGCUUCAGAGACAUAAGAAAAUUCAACGCCCUCGGACCAUUUUUCAUUGAGAAUUUGCCGAUCUUCAAAGACAUUACCCGGAGAUGAGAUAAGUUAAUUUAAACUUAAAUUUUUUCUUUAUGGGAGGGUGAGGGCAACAAAUUAAUUAUGAGUCGCAGGAAUCAUGGAUAACAUACACAACCCUUGGAAAUAACCGGAAAGAGGAGAGAUAAUAGCCACUGAAUUAGCCCCAAAUAAUUAUCUUCAACUGGAUUCAGGUAUCAUUCAUUCAUUUUUCGAACAUAUCGCGUUUUUUCUUUAUGCGCAGGACAUGACCACAAGUUAAUUGCGGAGUAACCGGAGUAUUGAGACAAAUAAACUAAACUCGAAACACGUGAGAUAUUUAUUUUUGCAUAAAUAUAAAUGUUUUGUUUGAAAAUAAUACACUUACAAUUAGAAGAAAGAAAAAAGGUAGGAGUAACGAGGAAAGAGUAGAAAAAUUAAAGGUAGGAGACAUAUAUUUUUGAGCUUCAGGAAUAGUUGAAUACAGGAAAUAAGAAAUUAUUGAUAUGAAAAUUAAUGAAGAAAAUAUGAAGAAAAGUAAAAGAUGGAUAGAGAAGUAAAGCAUUUUAUUAUUGAAGAAUAACAGAAGGUAAAGAGCUAAAUUCAUCUUCUUUUGGAUUCUACCUUUGUAAUUUUUAUUUGGUUUGUUAACUCUUUAAAUACUGUAUUUUAUUUGUGGGAAGAGGUAUUUUUUUCUUUUGCAUCGCAGGAAAAAUAACAUUCUAGGACAGUCUAGAAAAAUCUCGAACAAGAAAGUAAUAUUUAUUACUAAUGAGAUAUUAAAAAUGUUGAUUGUUAAUAUGAAUGAGAGUAAUUUGUGACUUGGAAAAUAAUUUCUUUGAAAAUUAUUUAUUGAUUAUUAUCAAAAAACAACAUUGAAGAUUUAACAAGAUACAAGAUUCAGAAUAUAAAAAUAGAAUAUUUUUAAUUCAUUUGAUAGAAUUAAAUCUAAAAAUGUCUUCAAAAACAAAUUCAACAGUAAAUCCAGACACAAAAUACUUUUAAUCAAAAAGAUUGAAUUUUUCUAAAAGUAUUAUCAUUUUAAUCACUUUAAUCUGCUUCAAAUUUAGUGAAAAAUUAUAUUUCUUUAUCAGCUGGCUUUUGCAAAAUAUCAAAAACAAGAAUUAAUUGGAUAGAAAAAAGAACUUAAAGCAAGAAAAGCUUCAAUGAAAUUUUAUAAAAUUCAUUUAAUUAUAUAUUAGUAUUGAGAAUGGAAUUUGCAUAAUACUAGUAUAUUAAUGUGCAUUGUUUGCAGAAAUUUUUAAUUAAUCUACAAAAAUGUUUUAUCAGUGUUUACUUGAUCUUUAACGUUUUCAUGGACGAUUUGAAAUCAAAUUAUAAGAAUUAGUUGACGUGUUCAUCAUAAUUAUCUAUCAUAUCGUGCUAAAAUAUUUUUGUGCAGUUUUCGUUUGUUCAUAAGAAGUUUAUAGUCAAAGUUGUGUGAGUUUAUAUAUAUAUAUCAUUUUCUCUACACAUAUAUACAUAUAAUCUUUUAUGUUUCUAUUGUAUCAAGUAGCGCAUAACAAAUUUAUUCCUAUAUAUCUAUAUAGUUGUGUAGUGCGGUCACUUUAAUUAUGUGCAAGUUAUCAAGUUAAUUACCAAUGUUUGUUUCACCUUUGUAAAAUCGCUGCAAUGCUAAUCCGCUGUUAAUGAGCCUAAAUGUUAUGAGAAUGUAUACACGUUUUUUUUAGGGUGAAUUGUUUACAAGUGUUCUAAAAGUUGUCCUCACUGAAUCAAAAAAUAAUGUAAUUAAUUUUUAUAUAUCUAUAUUGUUCGCCUGAAAACAAAAAAGAAAUCAUAAUUGUUGGAUGUACAGGACUAAGCGGUGUAUUUUUAGAAGUGGCUUAUUUGUUGCUAGAACUUUCGGUGAGUUUUACAUAGAAUUGUGAUUUUUUGAUCCUAUUGAACAAUUUCUUUAUUAACUUUUAUUAAGUAGUUUCCGCAGUUAACACAUUGUUUCACUGUAUUUAUUGUAUAUAUAUGAAAACAUGCAAUGUUCUGCUGGAAAAUGUUAUUGUUAGGUACACUAUACCAAAGGUAUUUGUACCCUUGAACGUGCUUGAAUAAAUUAUAUAUUGAGGGUUGGGGCCUGGGGAAGUACUAAUUAUUGUUUGCGCGUUCCAAAGUAUUUUCAGAAACUACCAUCAAGUGAUUAAUUGGACAUUCUCUAUCAAUAACUACUUCCAUUUCAUGUAAAACAUGUAUAAAGUAUCAUCAACACGCAGAGCACAGCAUAUUGGAUCAGCUAACAUUUGUUCGGGCCAUACUACAUCGCGGCAUGCAAUCUAUUUGGCUGCUACUCUUAUUUGUAUUAUUAAAUACUUGUGACUUCUUUGGAUUAAUGCCUAUCACGAAAGUACCAUUCGUCCGCUUGAGGAAGAUUAUUAGCACUGCAUCAAUGAUAAUUAAUUAGGCAAUUUGUGUUUGGUGGUUUCAAAAAUUUAUCAAUUGAUACAAUUGAAAUCAAGGUACGCACUUUAGAUCAUUUAUUUAUCAAAUUUUUUUACAUACUGCACAAUGGAAAUGCUAGUAAUGUGGUGCAUCAAAAAGCAAAUUGGCUUGGCUAUUUAAUUAGGAUAGGAAACAAGGAGAAAUAAUCUAUACCUUUUUAAUAUUAACAUCAAGAGUCUACUAUUGAAGACAAUACUACUGAAAAUUAAUUAUUUUACCAUCAUUUGAAAAUUGAAACUUCAUUACAUGUUUGAGUUAAUGAAAUGUUGAUAUAUAUAUCCAUCAUCAAAAAUCCUCAGUAGAAGGCAGACCCAGUAAGCAUCAUUUUUGUUUUGUAACUGAUAAUGAGUGUGAUCGCAUUUUUUUAAAGCAAAUGUAAGAGUUGAAACCCUUUUCCCCUCGUACCCCUUGCUAACCGAGUAUUUUUAGAAACUACUACUCAAAGAAUAACUACUUGGACGUGUUGUGGAUGGUACGCGGAUUGAUGACAUGGAUGGCAUGAGAUGACAUUCCACGCGGGUGUUCUACUACUUGCUUGCUUCAUCUGAGAGGGUUGGUCUUGGCUUCACGGCGGUUUGUGCAUUCUUCUACUCGUCCUUGAGGCCCUCAGAGUCCAGCCAUCGUCCCUGGAGUGGAUAUCUCUUGGAACAUCCUAAGAUUCAUCGUCCAUUAAGUGGUCUGACUCCUUGGCAGCCGAUCUUCUUCGGGAACUGCGGGGUAAUGACUUCACUGGACAUGUUUGUUCCGGGACUUGGCGCUUGGAGACUCUUAUGGCAGCGGGACUGAUCGGUUUACCCUGGCUUCGCGUUUUACCGUGGACUUACUCUGGGAGGUCGUGUUUCCCCUUGGCGAUGGGCGGUUUCUUUCUACAGGAUUCUCUUCAAGGCGUUCCAUGAUGUAUGCAGAGUUCCAGCCAAAACGCCUCUUCUUUUUUUUUAAAAAAAUAAUUUUUUUAAUCAUACAUGGGAUUAAUCAUCACAAUUCACUCCUAGUAGAAAACCCAUAAUGAUGAAAGCUUUUUUUGUCGGCACCUAAAACAUUUAAUAAAAAGCCAUAAAAAAAAAUAAUUAAAACAAUAACA